rnacentral:lncRNA from 1 species
AAAAAAGAAGGAAAUGGUCCCAGAAUAGUUUGGCUUUCAGAGAAGCCCAAGAAUCAAUGGCACCAGAGACACAGGAUCAUGAGGGAGUGGGCCAAGAAGGGGCUGUGGAAAAGCUGGUGAUGCUCUUUACUUCUGACUUGAAAAUCCUCGCUGCUCUUGAUGAGGAGGAGCCACGUGGCCGUGGGGUCUUUCAGCCUACAUUUUUUUCAAGUCUCACCCAGUUGUGGGGCAAAGGAACCUUGGUGGAGGAUUUGGGCGUUUUGUCAUGUGAUGCAGAACCACAAGAGGAGAAAGAUCCAGCGGAGGGACCUAGGAUCUAGAAAGCUACAAGAGAAGAGCUGGAGUUGGCUGAAGGAGAGAAGACCAAGAAAUAAGGAUAGUUUCCUAUGUGUCAGAGGUCUCUGUGUCGGGGGGGCACAUCGAACUGUUGUCCUCAGCUUUGAAGUCUCCCUGUGACUGCCCAGCGCCAUAGCCCUGCCUGCCGGGUUAACCUGCCUGCCCAGACGCUGCCCAGCUGCUGUGUUCUCUCCGACAGGAAAGGAUUUGAGAUGGAAGGACAAGGAAGAAUAGCCCUGAGCUAACAUCUGUGCCCAUCUUCCUCUACUUUACAUGUGAGACACCUACCACAGCAUGGCUUGUCAAGCCGUGCCAUGUCCACACCUGGGAUCCGAACCAGUGAACCCCAGGCCGCUGAAGUGGAACCUGCACACUUAACCGCUGCGCCACUGGGCCGGCCCGAGGAGAGAUCAUUUCCAUCUUGACAAACUGGAGUUAGGAAUUGGAGUUAGACCACUUCCAGUGAAUCCUUUGCAUUUUACUUUGAAAUAUGUUCUACUGAGUACUUUUGUGUUCAGGCAGACCAAUGAUUUUUGCGCAUACCUGAUAAAAUAUAUAUGUGUCCACAAGGGGGCUUCAUUUUCUUACUUUUCAACUUUUGCUUUCAAUAAUACUGUACGUUUUGUUUUGAUGGUAUUUUUUAUACCAAAAAUAGAAACACUUGCUUGUUUCUGAUAAACACUUGUCAUCAGUAAAAAGAGAGCUAGGGACAGUAGAAGAAUUAGGGGAGCACAGUCUGAAAUGAUGACUGACAGAGCAGAAGGGUCGAAGAGUGGGGUAGUGAAUUCAUGAAUAUUUCACACUCCCUCCUAUGGAACUCAAAACAACAGUCUGGGUUUUUAGAUGGAUAAUAAUUAAGAUUAUACUGG